AUUGAACGCUGCGGCAGGCUUAACACAUGCAAGUCGAGCGAGCGGCGGACGGGUGAGUAAUGCUUAGGAAUCUGCCUAUUAGUGGGGGACAACAUCUCGAACGGGAUGCUAAUACCGCAUACUAAUAGCUGAGCCUAGUCGGAUUAGCUAGUUGGUGGGGUAACGGCUAAACUAGGCGACGAUCCAUAGCUGGUCUGAGAGGAUGACCAGCCACACGGGAACUGAGACACGGUCCAGAAUCCUACGGGAGGCAGCAGUGGGGAAUAUGGACAAUGGGCGGAAGCCUGAUGCAGCCAUGCCGCGUGUGUGAAGAAGGCCUUCGGGGUGUAAAGAACUUUCAGCGGGGAGGCGUUACCCGCAGAAGAAGCACCGGCGAACUCCGUGCCAGCAGCGCGGUAAUAC
rnacentral:rRNA from 1 species